rnacentral:tRNA from 1 species
GCCUGGCUGGCUCAGUCGGUAGAGCCUAGGACUCCUGAUCUUCGGGUCCUGAGUUCAAGCCCCACGUUGGGCA